UAUGUGAUCGUCUCUCGCAUAUCAAUAAGCGGAGGAAAAGGCUGCAGAACUGAACGACCGCUACCUACGCUUAGGAUGUUGAGGUCAUCGUAUCGCGCAUGCUCGAUCUAUACAUGACUCUGUGCAUAUCAAUAAGCGGAGGAAAAGAAACUAAGCAAGGAUUCCCCUAGUAACGGCGAGUGAAGCGGGAAGAGCUCAAAUUUGAAAUCUUAAAGGGUUUCCCUUUACGAAUUGUAGUUUAAAGAAGUGUUUUCUGUUGAGGUUUUGGUAAAAGUUCUUUGGAAUAGGACAUCAUAGAGGGUGAGAAUCCCGUAUUUGACCUUUACUUUCAACUUUGUGAUACACUUUCAAAGAGUCGGAUUGUUUGGGAAUGCAGUCCAAAGUGGGUGGUAAAUUUCAUCUAAAGCUAAAUAUUGGCGAGAGACCGAUAGCGAACAAGUACCGUGAGGGAAAGAUGAAAAGAACUUUGAAAAGAGAGUUAAACAGUACGUGAAAUUGUCAAAAGGGAAGCGUUUGACACCAGUGUUGUUUUUCUGAAAAUCAAUUAAAGAACUGUUUAUGCUAAGUUGUUUAGACUUUAUCAGCUAUCUGUUUAGUUUUGAGCUUUUCUUUAAUGCACUUUUCAGUUAACAAGUCAACAUCAAUUUCUUUUGCUGUAAAAAAGCUUGAGGAAGGUGGCUUGAGAUUCGUCUUAAGUGUUUAUAGCCUCUUGCCUAUGCAGUCGGAGAGAUUGAGGUCUGCAGCGUAGAUCCUUCGGGGCUAAAUGCAUUUGUGCUAAGUUAUAGCAUUUUAUAGACAACUUGUUGACUAUGAUUUGUCUUGUAGCUUACUCGCUUAUGUUAUUUUACCUACGCUUAGGAUGUUGAUCUACAGAGCGAGAGU
rnacentral:rRNA from 1 species